CCUUCACCACUCUCUGGUCCGGAAUCCUCUCGAUUUCGACCAUGUUCCGGUCACACAGCUGCCAGCAGUUGGGGGACAGGAUGACGUCAUUCAUCUGCGCCAGGUUCUGUGCCAGCCGCACGUCGUCCACCGCCUGGCCGGUCACCAGGAAGUGGUUGCGUCUCUCGUCCCCGAAGACCACCAAGACUACCAGUGCAGACAAGAUGGCAGACAGAGGCGAAAAGGGAGCGGACUUCACUCAGCUGUGAGGGCUUCAGGACCCACCAUCAGGAGACGAAGGGGUGGUGGAACUCCGAUGUGAGCCUGUGACCCACACCAACCCCACACAUCCUUUUGGCACUUGCCUGAAAUAUCAACGAACAUCAGGACUCCAUCAAAAUAAUCCAUGGAGGGCCGCUCCGGAGAGAAAUUUCCAUAGACAAUGAGGUCUGGUAAAUGAGCCGCUAUUCUGACAA